AGAGUUUGAUCCUGGCUCAGGAUGAACGCUGGCGGCGUGCUUAAUACAUGCAAGUCGAACGGAGAUUGUAGCAAUACGAUCUUAGUGGCGAACGGGUGAGUAACGCGUUGGUGACCUGCCCCAAAGAGAGGGAUAACAGUCCGAAAGGAUUGCUAAUACCUCAUGUUGUUAUCGGGUUUAGAAGCCGGCAACUAAAGGAGUAAUUCACUUUGGGAGGGACCUGCGUCCCAUCAGCUAGUUGGUGAGGUAAUGGCCCACCAAGGCGAUGACGGGUAGGGGACCUGAGAGGGUGGCCCCCCACAAUGGUAUUGAAACACGGACCAUACACCUACGGGUGGCAGCAGUAGGGAAUAUUAGUUAAUGUGCGAAAGCGCGAACUAGCAACGCCGCGUGUGCGAUGAAGGCCUUCGGGUCGUAAAGCACUUUUCUAAGGGAUGAGGGAGGACAGUACCUUAGGAAUAAGCCUCGGCUAACUACGUGCCAGCAGCCGCGGUAAUACA
rnacentral:rRNA from 1 species